UACAGAGGUCUCAAGCGUUGUUCGGAUUCAUUGGGCGUAAAGGGUGCGUAGGCGGCGCGGUAAGUCGGGUGUGAAAGUCUCGGGGCUUAACUCCGAAACUGCAUUCGAUAACUGCCGUGCUUGAGGACUGGAGAGGAGACUGGAAUUUACGGUGUAGCGGUGAAAUGCGUAGAGUAUCGAUAAGGAAGACCAGUGGCGAAGGCGG
rnacentral:rRNA from 1 species